rnacentral:rRNA from 1 species
GUGGGGAAUUUUGGACAAUGGGCGCAAGCCUGAUCCAGCAAUGCCGCGUGCAGGAAGAAGGCCUUCGGGUUGUAAACUGCUUUUGUACGGAACGAAACGGUCCUGGCUAAUACCUGGGGCUAAUGACGGUACCGUAAGAAUAAGCACCGGCUAACUACGUGCCAGCAGCCGCGGUAAUACGUAGGGUGCGAGCGUUAAUCGGAAUUACUGGGCGUAAAGCGUGCGCAGGCGGUGCUGUAAGACAGGCGUGAAAUCCCCGGGCUCAACCUGGGAAUUGCGCUGGUGACGGCAGUGCUGGAGUGCGGCAGGGGGGGAUGGAAUUCCGCGUGUAGCAGUGAAAUGCGUAGAUAUGCGGAGGAACACCGAUGGCGAAGGCAAUCCCCUGGGCCUGCACUGACGCUCAUGCACGAAAGCGUGGGGAGCAAACAGGAUUAGAAACCCGUGUAGUCC